rnacentral:tRNA from 1 species
AGCCUCGAGGUGUUUCACGUCAAAAUGCAAGUUUGAAGAAGAGCCCUAAGGGGCU